rnacentral:lncRNA from 1 species
GAGAUGCAGUCUGAAUGUUCACGGUGGCUUCUGACGUGGCAGCGUGAAUUCUCAGCUGGGCAGUGCUGAGGAUUGAACCCAGGGCCUCGUUGCAUGUCAGGGCUCCAGUGCAGAUUUAGAUCCACCUUCUGGAUGCUUUGGUCCCUGGAACAAGGCAGCAGGCUCUUGCUAUCAAGAACCUGUCCCUGAGAAGGUGCUGGGAACAUUAAAAUCUUCAUGUCUCGGGGGACAAGAAAACUAAAAGUACUCAUUGUUCAGUAGCUACUGAGGCUGAUGAGAGGCGGGACUGUGGAUUCAUGUGACUGACGAUGACUGGUCUUCCUGGCCAUAUUGCUUUCUCUUUCUUUUAUCAAGUACAGACAUGGUGCCUGCCUGGAGUGGUGGUAUGAGUGUCUAAUCUCAACGAAACAACCAAGGCCACCUGUUCCCAUUUUUUUUUAUUGCUGUUGUUACAUGUGUAUAUGUGACAUAUGUGCAUGUAUGUUCAUGUGUUUGUGGGUACA